rnacentral:lncRNA from 1 species
AGAGUCAGACAUGACUGAGCAACAGAACUGAACUGAACUGAGUCUCUUGGAGAACUUCCUGGGUUUCAUUUUUGGCUUAUUUGGGUUACUGCCAUCUACGUUUGCAGCUUCCCGGAAGGCCAUGGGUCUAGAGGAGGGCUUGCCAUGCUCCAGGGCUACUUCCUUUGGAAGAGUGGAGAAGGGGAACACAAGAGAUCGGAAGAGCACACGGCCCUGGAGAGCCCGCCGCACCGCCCCAGGGUCAGCCCGGAGCCGCUCCUNNNNNNNNNNNNNNNNNNNNNNNNNNNNCCCGGCGGGGCACAGACCCCGCGGCCCUGGAGCCCCCGCCGCCCCGCCCCAGGGUCGGCCCGGAGCCGCUCCUCCACACGCCAGCUCAGCCAGGCACCUCGCAGCCCAGCACAGCCCUCGGCCAAGCCGAGCAGGUGGAGCGGGCAGCGGGGGAGGCGCAAGCAUUGGGGUACCCAGGCCAGCCCCAGAGGCGCACGCCCACCCCGAGCCUCGGAACCCCUACCUGUGGUUGGCAGGCCUGAGGAGAAAGACAAGAAGGGUCAUUACUGUUACUGAGCAAUUUCUGCAGGUGCUGAGACCCCCUGGGGGGCAGCUGCCGGGCUGGGCCAUGUGA